AAGAAAAAAGAUAUACAUUUAUCACUUAAAUAUUAUACUUCUCGCAAAUGUACUAAUUAAGUUUAUAUAAUCUAAUUUUUCAACCAAUUUUUUUUCAAUUGAUGGAAUAGUUUAUCCAUUCAAUCUUCCUUGUGAUAUAGUUGAUUGAAGAUAAUAUUUGAUGACCUUUAAUUUCAAAAAGCAUCUUUCUUGCAUAGGCAACUGUAACUUGUAUGGUAUAAGCAACUCAUGCAUUCGAGAAACAAUCAUCCAUUUGUCUUUAGAUAUUUCAACACUUCUGUUGCCCAAUUUAUUUCCUUCGGUAAAAUUUCUCUCAAAAUUCUUAACUCUAGAAAUAAGUUUUUCCCAUCAAUAUUAGGAUACUCAUCAUGUGAAGACUGAGAGAGAAAAACGAUAGUUUUUGCGAAAACAAAGAGACCUAUUGGGGCUGUAUCGAGAAAAAAGACUGACAUUUUGAUUUUUAAAAUUUCAAUUAGAUUUGAAAGAAUAAGUGUGCAUUUGUUGCACCGGACUGUCUUGGACUGGACUAGCUUCAGGGGCUAAACUGGACUGGCUUAGACUAGACUAAGCUGGACUAGCUUAGUGAAGUGUUUGGUGUAGUGUCGGACUAAGAAGCAGGAUAAUAAAAUUUUUAUACAAAUACAAAAAAAUUGAACCCCAACGUCAACAUUUUCUGCAAAAUCCAAAUCCUAACAUCCAAAUUCCAGAAAAAUCAUAACUAGAUGAUCACCACUCCGGAAAAAUCAAAUCUUUCACUUGUAUGUGCAUGACCAAAAAAUCAAUUUGAAAACCUCAAAUUACAUUUUACAACCCAUAAUUGAAUCUUUCCAAUGAAUCAAGAGAACCCAAAUACCCCACAAAAUAGAAAAUUCAACACAGCAGAAACAGAAUGUAGUCAGCAGCAAGCAAACCACAAUCAAACAUUUCCAGAUCGAGAAGAUAUCCAUUGCUGCAUUAUGUUACAUGAACUUUGAACAUCUGGUCAUCUCACGAAUAUGGAAUGGAAGCAAACCCAUUUGAGUCUGCAACCUCGACGACAACCACGACCUAUGAGCAACGAUUUGAUAUAUAGUAACAUAUAAUUCAUUCAAACCCAUAUAUAGAAUAUGACGAAUUAAAAUUGCUAUCCCAAUUCUCAAACAUAUAUAUAUAUAUAUAUAUAUAUAUAUAUAUAUAUUGUAAUCUCAAGCAACACCAUCAACAAUCCCAAAUCAAUAUUCACAACUUAGAAUCAAGUGAAACAAACUAAUAGAAUUUCAGGUGAUUCUUCCGAGUUUUUCUCAUCUUUUUACUUUCAUCAAAGAAUUGAAGAUUCUUUUGCAAAUUUGCAUGUUUGAAUUGAAUUUGGGGAUUUG
rnacentral:lncRNA from 1 species